rnacentral:misc_RNA from 1 species
GAUGAAGAACGCAGCUAAAUGCGAUAAGUAGUGUGAAUUGCAGAAUUCAGUGAAUCAUCGAAUCUUUGAACGCACAUUGCGCCCCUUGGUAUCCCGAGGGGCAUGCCUGUUCGAGCGUCAUUUCACCACUCAAGCCUGGCUUGGUGUUGGGCGACGUCCCCUUUGGGGACGCGCCUCGAAACGCUCGGCGGCGUGGCACCGGCUUUAAGCGUAGCAGAAUCUUUCGCUUUGGAAGUCGGGGCCCCGUCUGCCGGAAGACCUACUCGCAAGGUUGACCUCGGAUCAGGCAGGGAUACCCGCUGAACUUAAGCAUAUCAAUAAGCGGAGGA